rnacentral:misc_RNA from 1 species
UUGAGAGGAGGUGUGAGUGUUCUCUAUGUACUGUAUGCAGAUUAUGAAAGGUGAUCUCUGGGUUGAAUACAUACAUACGUACCUGAGAACAUACCUGUUUAACAUACAGGUAGACAGCGCAGAAACUCGUUAACAACACAUAAAAUACAGAAACAUUGACUUCGUUACCAUGGAUACGAGGCUGUUACUAGGGGUGCUGGUUGCCCUACUGGGGACAGCCCUGGCAAACCCAUCUUGGAGCGUCACUGUAGAAUAUGGCAAAAAUGUCAUCCUCUCUUGCAACGACACAAGCGCACCUCCUACCACUGAUGUAGUACGCAAUAGAUGGAUGCUUCCCGAUUUAAGAAUUGUAGAUAAAGGAUGGACGGAUGACGAUGGACGAAGGGGAGUGAUUGAUGAUGGAAAAAGGUUUAACAUAACCAUGUUAUCAGACCGAGACUUUGGCAUUUACCAUUGCAUGUUUGAAAAGACUGACGGGACUUACUUUGUCGUAAAACGUGGAGUAAACGUCGGUGGCCCAUAUUACGGCAACCUAUGGGAUAAAUAUCGCAUGAGUGUCAUCAUAGGUGGCAGUGCUGCAGGAGGAUUUGCCGCUGUAAUGAUUCUCAUCUGUCUCGUGUAUAAAUUCCGCUGGAGGCCUCCCGUAGAGGAAGAUCAAUACAAAAGCCCCCCGACCAAUGGACAAAUAGACGGAUAUGGAGUCGCACACGUCCCAAGCGACACAAAGGAUGAUAUUGAACGAAUCCCAAUGGCGCAGUAUCACACAGGAAAUGAGAAAAAUGGUGAUGCGCCUGUACCUGCACAGACUGAAACUGCUCAACUUACUAAUGAAGUGAAAGUUAAGGAUAACAGUUCAUACGUUUAUGAUAAUCCUGCAAUGAAGAUUACAGAUCCAGACAAAUUAACACAGUUAUAAAGACCAAAAAAUGCUGAACUAACAUUUAUACUACAAACUAUUCCUAAUCCCCAAGUCCGAACAUAUCACAUACUUUGUGAAAAGUGACUUGUAUAUAUGUGGUCGAAGAGGCCGAACUUACACAGCUAUUAAAAAGUUUUCCCAAAUCCUCAAAACACACAUAUCUCAGAUUUUGAAUGAAACACCACAUCCUUAAAAGGAAAAAUAGAGGAUAUUGCAUAUAUGGGAUGUUAAAACAAGGAUACGGUAUCCAACCCAAUAUAUAAAAGUGAUAUUACUAAAACACCAAUGGAUAAAAAUCCCACAUACAAACCUAUAUAUCGGGAUCCCAAAAGGAAAUAUUUGUAUAAAAUACCAAUAAUGGAGAUUACAAAACAAAACAUUUGCUGACGCUUGAACUUUUGUACAUAUUUUCGCCACUGCACAGUGACUUUAUAUGAGUUAAUAACAAUGAAACUUCAAUGAAUCAAUAAAUAAAAAUACUCAAAGGGUUACCAUGGUUACAUGUAAAUAAUUCCAUGAAAUCUUGAUAUAAUUUUAUGUAAGGGUGACUCUGUGUUGCCAUUUACUUAAAUCUAAAUACACAGAAAAUUACAAGCACUCAAGGAAACUAAAAAACAAAUAUGAAAUCAUUGCACUAAGAUGAUGCAUAUAUUUUGAAAUAUAAUAUAAUUAAAUGAUUUUCUGUUGACUGUAUUGUUAUAAAGCUGGAGCUAUACUAAGAUAGUACUAUCAUCAAUUCUAUUCAUAUUUGAACAAUUUUAUUGAAUAGCCACACUAACCUCUGAAUAUUACAGAUAAUUUACAGUUUUAAUAUUUGUAAGUCUAUUGAAAUUUAAUAAUAUGUCUAAUGACCAAAAAUACCUAAUAAAAAGCAAAACCAUAUUUAUUGCAUCUUUUAUUUAGAUUUUAUAAUUUUCAAUAUCUAAAGGACAUAAUACAUACAUGAUGUUGAUAAAAUGGCAACAACUUUUGGUUCAAGUAAUAUUUUCAAUGAAGACAAAACUGAAGUUAAAAUAGAUG